rnacentral:hammerhead_ribozyme from 1 species
AUCCAGCUGACCAGUCCCAAACAGGACGAAAUGUGCAUCCUCGAU